CACCUGCAACACAAGUGAUGGCCAGUUUUAUUGGGCUUAAAGCGUUCGUAGCCGGUCUAGUAGGUUCUCGGUGAAAUCGUUGCUCUUAAAGUAACGGCGUGCUGAGAAUACCGCUGGACUAGGAACCGGGAGAGGUGCGAGGUAUGCCUUGGGUAGGGGUGAAAUCCUGUAAUCCUUGGUGGACCGCCGGUGGCGAAGGCGUCGCACUGGAACGGGUUCGACGGUGAGGAACGAAAGCUAGGGUAGCAAAGCGGAUUAGAUACCCGCGUA
rnacentral:rRNA from 1 species